GGAGGAAUAUUGGCCAAUGGGGCGAGAGCCUGAACCAGCCAAGUCGCGUGAGGGACGAAGGCCCUACGGGUUGUAAACCUCUUUUAUAAGGGAAUAAAGGACAUCACGUGUGGUGUUUUGCAUGUACCUUAUGAAUAAGCAUCGGCUAACUCCGUGCCAGCAGCCGCGGUAAUACGGAGGAUGCGAGCGUUAUCCGGAUUCAUUGGGUUUAAAGGGUGCGUAGGUGGCUUGUUAAGUCAGCGGUGAAAGUCAGUGGCUCAACCAUUGAAUUGCCGUUGAAACUGGCGAGCUUGAGUACGUACGGGGCAGGCGGAAUGCGUGGUGUAGCGGUGAAAUGCAUA
rnacentral:rRNA from 1 species